UUGACAAAGUGAAUCAUCACUGUCUAGUCUUUCUUGUAUAUGAAUUUGAAGUAUUGAUUAAAGUUGUAGCAUACCUGUAAUUUUAAGUUGUAAAACUUUAACACUCACAAAAGAACAUUGAAAGACUGCAAAUUUCUAGACUUGGAGGUUAUAAUUCCUUCUGUAUGUUACUACUAUCAGCUUAUAAAGUUUUAAAAAAUGUGAAUGUAGAAACUUAUAUAAACUGUAUUCACACAUGAAGCAUAGCCUAAAUGCUCCGGACUGAUAAUCUGAAGGUCAUUCUAACCUGGCUGAUUGAACUACUUUUAUUCAUAGAAGCCAAAGUUUUGAAAGGUACAGAUAGAAUCUUGACUACCUUGCAUUCCCAGUUACGUUUUAAUUCCAAAAUAACUAGCUCUUUAGUCACUGGAAACAAAACACUUUUAGCAUUUAACUUUAUAAUACUUGAAAUCCUACCUUGAAAGCAUUCAUACUCAUUAAAAGCUCAACACAUGAUCCAUGUUUACAUAAGGAUUUGGGUGUUACUUAAAAUGAUCAUGUAAUGAGCUGCUUCUCUGCAAAUUAAUAUUCACUCCCUUCCCUCAUCCUUAAUGUGGGAUCUUUGAAGGAAAAGGAAGUGACCAAACUAAAGACAUAGGGAAAUGCAAAAUCAAGGUGAAAAGUUAACCAUAGGGUUGUUUUAAUUUUGGCCAUAAACCCCCUAGUGAAUAAUGGUAACAGUAUUGUUUUGAGACCCAUUUUGUGGCGUUUACCUAUUGUUAAACUAAAUUGACUAGAUGUAAAUAUAUUUUUAUCUUCAGAUGUUUAGAAUUUCUAUCCUUCCCCAUUGUUUCUGGAUUUUGAUACUAAUCUUUUUUCUUUGCAUAUUGUAUAUAUUUACUCAACAACUAAUCUAAUUUUAGAUUUUUAGCUUAUCCACAUUUCAUUUUUGUUUGUUUCAUUGGUAUUUCAUCAAUACAAUGGCUCUACCCUCCAAGGAAAAAAAAACAUCAGCCCGUCCCACAAAAAUGCAUAUAUAUAUUCAAGAAAGAUAAACUACAUUGUGAUGAUUCAAUCAUAAAGCUACUCAAGGAUGUGCUCCACCAAAAUGAGGAUAUGAAGCCAAUAUAAAGGAAGGCAAUGAAUACAAGAGACAGGCAAAGGGAGUUCCCAGGACAUAAGCAAGGGACAUCCCAGGUAGCAAGUGUGCACCUGGUGUCCAGGGCCAUCUGUCCAGGCCUCUAGCAGUGGUGUGGUGUGAAGACAAAGCACUGGAUUUGUAGACACACAGACCCCAAGUCAAAUGCCAGCUCAAUCAUAUGCUAUUUAUGCGACCUCAGAAAGUGACCCAACCCCUCUGAAUCUUAAUUUCCUCAUCCGUAAAAUGGGGCCAUGUGAUAGCCACCUCAUGUGCUAAGCCAUUAAAUGAACUUAUGUUUAUAAAGUAUCUGGCAGAUGCUCAAAAAAUAUCAGUUCCUUCCUAUCUGAAGUAGUGAAUCUCCUCACAGAUUCAGAGCAGUAAUCGUUUGAAUCAUAUGAUGAUAAUGUAUAUUCAUCUCUAAUGCAAUCAGAUAGGGAAUUAAAAUACAUAUUUAAAUGUCUUCUUGUUUUAACUUUUACAUGAUAUAAAACAAUCAGUUUUCCUAUCCUAGAAAGAUAUGCCUUAAAGAUAAUUUAUUUAGUCCAAUUAGAUAGCUAUUUUGAUGUCCUGUAGACACAACUUGAAUGCUUAUGUGUCACAUAUGGCCUAGUACCAUGAGAAGACUUGAGGAACGCUCAAGGCCUGUAGGUGAUAGAAUAGUCAAAACGUGUCCCACCCAACCAGUCUCCCAAAUUGCUACAUAACCCCUUGAGACCCUGUGAAUCAUAAUUUAUAAGCAACUAUUCAUAGAUUUAGGCAUUUUCCCCAGGGUGUUAUUUAUAUGAGGCUGCUAACGAUCAACUUUAAUAUGUGUAUGUAUUUUCUUUGCUAAGUAUUAGCUCUAACACCUGACUCACAAAAGUGGAGGGAGGGGGGAAGGAAAAAUCCACUAAGUUAGAGAGGCCAGAGAGACCCCUUGCAGAGAGAGGAUGGCAAGGAAAGUCAACCUUUGAAGAAAGGCCUCCCUAAGGAACAAGGACCAUGUGGUCCUGUGAUCCUCUGUAAUCUAAGUGCCAAGACUUGGUGCCAAGAAUAAAUGAUCCCGGUUGAUGAAGAGCAAUCUGCCACUUCUAAGAUUUGAUCAAAGAUCAGAAAACCAUCUCUGUGCUGCUGCUUCUCACAUCUGCUCACAUUUUAACAGUUUAGUGCCUAUAACAGGAAGUGCCUAUUUUCACAUUGAAAUUUUUGCAUUCAGUAGAAAUAUUUUUGUUUUAAAUAAUUUAAAAAUAUAACCGUGAGCAUCUUUAAAUUUUCAUAAUUGGCUCACAGUAAAAUAGAUUUCUCACCUCUGAUUUAGGUGAAAUAACAUUGUUUCUGCUUUGCAUUAUUCUACUUUCUCUACCUCAAACAAGAACAAAAAUUCUUUUAAUAAUCAAUUGAGCUCAUCAGUUUCUUUAAUUGAACAUCUGCCAGAUUCUGGGGAUACCAAGAUGACUGUGAAAGAGUAUCUUCCCUGGAGGAACUCAAUUUCUUUUUGGGGGUGAUAGUGGAGAGAGGGGAACCCAGAUUUGGAAAGAGACAAUGGUGAUAAGAAUGACAAUAAAAGUAUGUACAAAGGUUAAGAUAACACAAAAGAUAGAAAGGCCAACCCUGGAGCUUUCCAAAAAGGCUUCCACAGAAGAGAUAAAGUUGUGGCUUGAUUUCCCAGGCCUUGUGAGAGCUUGCCAGUCAGGCAGAUACAUUGAAGAUACUCAUGAAGGACAGUGAAGAAACAGAGCUUAGAACCAAACAGUAUGUUUGGAGAAUGGCACAAAGCUCCAUGUGGCUGUGUUAAGCAGUGAAUGUGGGAAGUUAGUAGGAGGUGAGAACCAAGAAACAAGAGAUAGAACAUUCCAUAGAUAAAUAACAGGAGUGACAGGCUCCGAGAUGCAUUGUCAAGAGAGCAUGUGAUGGCGAGGAUGGGCUGGAGUGAGAUGAGAACCUAUUUAGAAGUAGUCCAAGUAAGAGAUAUGGAGGUCCUGAAUUAUGGCAAUAACGUAUCAAGGAUGGAUGAUAACUAAUUAUAAAUCAUCUAAAAAUGGGAAGUACCAUGUAAACCCAUACAAAGAUAUUAAUUAUUGAUAUUAAUUUUCUGCAUGACCUUGAAGUCUGUUUGACAACCCACCCCUAGUUUAGUAAACACUUGCUGUGGCCAAGCCAAAUGCACAAUGCCAUCUACAGUAGGUGCGUGCUACCAUCACACAGCCCUCUCAUGACUUCCCAGGAUUUACUAGGAAGGCUAUUUGUGGAACAAGCUCAUUUUAGCCUCUUAAAUAUCAUAAAAUAAACUGAGAUUGCCCAUUUUGUUUUAAGUAUCCUGCAGAAGACAAUUAACUUUGUUUCCAGCACAAAAGAUAAUGCCAAUAUAACUUUUGUGAAACGUAAAAUGGUGAAAUUUAAGGAUGUGGCUGAAGAUGCCUAUGAUUUUAUAGGCUUUUCACUUAGAUGAAUGAAUGGAUGACUUUGCCACAGCAUUUUCGGCAUUCCAGGCUUGUGAUAAAAUGGAAUCCAGUUCAAGUUUCUUUUAACCUUCAUUUUUAGGAACCUGUGAUUACAUAUAUAAACAUUUAUAAAUAUACACGUUUGGAUUUGACAGUGAUUUAACAUUGUGACCAAAUACCUGUGCUAAAUUCAUCCAUGAGACAGCUGAGGAAAUCAUUUCUGGAAUAAUUUUUACUGUUCUUCAGUGUUCCUCAGGCAGGAAGCCACAGGAAACAAAGUAUUGUGGUGCACAUUUCCCUGCAGGAUUUGGUGUGUCAUUCACUGUGGAGAAUUUUGCUUUCCAGCUGCCUAUAGUUCACAUUUUUGUACUUGCUUUUCCCUCCAGAAUAAUUUGAUGAAGUCAGUUCCUCAGAGAUAGAAAAUCUCUAUUUUUUUAAGAUCAUAUUUGUUGCUUUUCCCAACUGAGAGAUAAACUUGAUUAAAAAGAAAACAUGUAAGUAGCCGGGAUUAAUUAUUUUGACAUAUGAAAUAACCAUGAUCGCAAUAUGAAAUAGUCAUUAGAUAAUUCUAAUAAUCUAAUAGGGUAAGUGCCUUUGGUUGAAUGAAAAUAAGGUCUGUCAAAAUUUUGGAUCAGUUUAAGAUAUAGUAAAUUAGAACCUGGAAUAUGGAAAUGAAAACCACCCUUUUUCGAGAGAACUUCACUAUUCUUUUAUUAGGUCUGAUUUCUACUUUAAAGUUUUUCUACCCUCCUUUUCCUCUCACUUCCCUGCGAAACAUUGUCCCACUCAUAGAUGAGAAAAUAGCAGAAUAAAAUGUUUUAAAAUCAGAACUAAUAUCCUCACGUUAAGCAACUAUUUUUUUUAAACACCUACACCAGUGGGUUUUCAACCCUGCCUGUAAGAAUCACUGGAGGAACUUUUUAAAAAUGCACAGACCUUCACGCCUGUAAUGCCAGCACUUUGAGAGGCCAAGGCAGGCAGAUCACUUGAGGUCAGGAAUUCGAGACCAGCCUGGCUAACAUUGUGAAACCCCGUUUCUACUAAAAGUACAAAAAAAAUUAGCCGGGCAUGGUGGCACGCACCUGUAUCCCAGCUACUCGGGAGGCUGAGUGAGGCAAGAGAAUCACUUGAACUGGGGAGGCAGAGGUUGCAGUGAGCCAAGAUUGCGCCAUUGCACUCCAGCUUGGGCAACAAGAUCGAAACUCCGUCUCAAAAAAAAAAAAAAACAAAACAAAAAAAAACAAAAAAAAAAACGCACAGAUUUCACCUUCGGAAUUACUAAUUUGAUUCGUAUAGGGUGGGACCUGAGUGUUCACAUUUCUCAGAACCUCCCAGGCUGACUUUAAUGUACAGUAGAGUUGAGACCACUGGCCUCUACUGUCCUUUGCAUAGGUGUCCCUAGGCUCUUUUUCAACCUGCCGAACCUGAUUUCUCUAUCACCCACUUAAAGAUUACACUUGGGGUAACAGUGACAAUCAAGCUCUGUGGUCUCCAAAGUGAGGGGUGCAAGAUGAUCUAUUAGAGUGUGAGAAAAAUAUAAGAAGUUUAUUUUUUAAUCACAUCCUUUAAUGAUAUGUUUUUAAAAUAUUUUAUGAUGCACAUAAUAUAUUAGUACAAUAGAUUGGGGGAAGGGCAACAGAACAGAAAACACCAUUUUUCCUGCUACAUAGAUCCCCUAAUUCUCUGCUUUCAAUGAGAGCAGUUUCAAUGUUGGCUUUUUGAUGUCUACUGAUUGCUGCAGACUUCUCUAGAGCUAAGUAUGGAGUUUUAUAAGACGCAUGUCCUCCACUGCACAGCUGUAUUCUAUGACCAACCACAGAACACAAUCUUUUU